UUUCUCUUCUUCAUUCCACAAUUCCCUCUUCCUUGCUUUCUUUCUUUUCUCUCUUUCUGCAAGAACACUAUAUAUCCUCUUGUUGACGUGAUCAUUCUCUCCACUAGUAUUAUCUCCCAAAAAACACACUUCCAUCUAUUACCCUUUACAGAAAGAGAGAAAGCUCAUCAACAGCUAUGGUUUUUUCUUCUAUCCCAGCUUAUCUUGAUCCAGCCAACUGGCAACAACAACCAAAUCAUCAUCACCAGCCUGGAGCAACUAGCGGUCUAAACUCUCAUCAGCUUCCUCCCCCUCCUCCUCCUCCACCUCCACCA
rnacentral:misc_RNA from 1 species